UACGUAGGGGGCGAGCGUUGUCCGGAAUUAUUGGGCGUAAAGAGCUCGUAGGCGGCUUGGCAAGUCGGAUGUGAAAACUCCAGGCUCAACCUGGAGCCGCCAUUCGAUACUGCUAUGGCUAGAGUCCGGUAGGGGAGUGUGGAAUUCCCGGUGUAGCGGUGAAAUGCGCAGAUAUCGGGAGGAACACCGAUGGCGAAGGCAGCACGCUGGGCCGGCACUGACGCUGAGGAGCGAAAGCGUGGGGAGCGAACAGG
rnacentral:rRNA from 1 species